rnacentral:rRNA from 1 species
GAAAGCUAUUUAGGUAGCGCCUCGUGAAUUCAUCUUCGGGGGUAGAGCACUGUUUCGGCUAGGGGGCCAUCCCAGCUUACCAACCCGAUGCAAACUGCGAAUACCGAAGCAUGUUAUCACGGGAGACACACGGCGGGUGCUAACGUCCGUCGUGAAGAGGGAAACAACCCAGACCGCCAGCUAAGGUCCCAAAGUCAUGGUUAAGUGGGAAACGAUGUGGGAAGGCCCAGACAGCCAGGAUGUUGGCUUAGAAGCAGCCAUCAUUGAAAGAAAGCGUAAUAGCUCACUGGUCGAGUCGGCCUGCGCGGAAGAUGUAACGGGGCUAAACCAUGCACCGAAGCUGCGGCAGCGGCGCUGAUGCGUUGUUGGGUAGGGGAGCGUUCUGUAAGCCGUUGAAGGUGUCCUGUGAGGGCCGCUGGAGGUAUCAGAAGUGCGAAUGCUGACAUAAGUAACGAUAAAGCGGGUGAAAAACCCGCUCGCCGGAAGACCAAGGGUUCCUGUCCAACGUUAAUCGGGGCAGGGUGAGUCGACCCCUAAGGCGAGGCUGAAAAGCGUAGUCGAUGGGCAACAGGUUAAUAUUCCUGUACUGGGUGUGACUGCGAAGGGGGGACGGAGAAGGCUAGGCAGGCCGGGCGACGGUUGUCCCGGUUUAAGCGUGUAGGGGGGAGUUUUGGGUAAAUCCGGAACGCCAUACACAAACCCUGAGGCGUGAUGACGAUGCACCAAGGUGCAGAAGCUGUUGAUGCCCUGCUUCCAGGAAAAGCCUCUAAGCAUCAGGUCACCUUUAAUCGUACCCCAAACCGACACAGGUGGUCAGGUAGAGAAUACCGAGGCGCUUGAGAGAACUCGGGUGAAGGAACUAGGCAAAAUGGUGCCGUAACUUCGGGAGAAGGCACGCUGGCAUGUAGGUGAAUUCCGUAUCGGAGGGAGCUAAAGCCAGUCGCAGAGACCAGCUGGCUGCAACUGUUUAAUAAAAACACAGCACUGUGCCAACACGAAAGUGGACGUAUACGGUGUGACGCCUGCCCGGUGCUGGAAGGUUAAUUGAUGGGGUUAGCCGCAAGGCGAAGCUCUUGAUCGAAGCCCCAGUAAACGGCGGCCGUAACUAUAACGGUCCUAAGGUAGCGAAAUUCCUUGUCGGGUAAGUUCCGACCUGCACGAAUGGCGUAAUGAUGGCCAGGCUGUCUCCACCCGAGACUCAGUGAAAUUGAACUCGCUGUGAAGAUGCAGUGUACCCGCGGCAAGACGGAAAGACCCCGUGAACCUUUACUAUAGCUUGACACUGAACAUGGAGCCUUGAUGUGUAGGAUAGGUGGGAGGCAGUGAAUCGUGGACGCCAGUCUGCGAGGAGCCACCCUUGAAAUACCACCCUUUAAUGUUUGAUGUUCUAACUUUGCCCCGUGACCCGGGGUAAGGACAGUGUCUGGUGGGUAGUUUGACUGGGGCGGUCUCCUCCCAAAGAGUAACGGAGGAGCACGAAGGUCAGCUAAUCACGGUCGGACAUCGUGAGUUUAGUGCAAAGGCAUAAGCUGGCUUGACUGCGAGAGUGACGGCUCGAGCAGGUACGAAAGUAGGUCUUAGUGAUCCGGUGGUUCUGAAUGGAAGGGCCAUCGCUCAACGGAUAAAAGGUACUCCGGGGAUAACAGGCUGAUACCGCCCAAGAGUUCAUAUCGACGGCGGUGUUUGGCACCUCGAUGUCGGCUCAUCACAUCCUGGGGCUGAAGUAGGUCCCAAGGGUAUGGCUGUUCGCCAUUUAAAGUGGUACGCGAGCUGGGUUUAGAACGUCGUGAGACAGUUCGGUCCCUAUCUGCCGUGGGCGUAGGAAGAUUGAGAGGGAUUGCUCCUAGUACGAGAGGACCGGAGUGAACGCACCGCUGGUGUUCGGGUUGUCAUGCCAAUGGCAUUGCCCGGUAGCUAAGUGCGGAACAGAUAAGCGCUGAAAGCAUCUAAGCGCGAAACUGGCCUCGAGAUGAGUCUUCCUUGGGUCUGAGAGGUCCCUGAAGGCACGUUUAAGACGAAGACGUGGAUAGGCUGGGUGUGUAAGAGCAGCGAUGCUUUGAGCUAACCAGUACUAAUGAGCCGUGAGGCUUAACCUU